ACAUGGAGGCUAUGAGUCUUGAGGUAUUUAGAUACUAAGGCUUCGUUUGGUUCGGGGUUAAGUAAAAAUUAAUUAUUUCAGGGAUAGAGUUAAGUUUAAGAUUACGGUGGGGUUAGAGUAAUUUUGUGUUUGGUUGAUAAUUGAAUUUAGUACAUAUAUAAGCAAAAUGGUGUUUGGUUAGAAUUAGUAGAAUAAGAAUGAUAGUGGAUAGUUAUACAUAGAAAAUAAUAAUAUUGCCCCAAUUAUUAUAUUUGAAUUUAAAUUUAAAAAUUAAAUAAUUAAAAAUAAUAAUUUAAAACUUAAAAUUUAAAAUUAUUUUAAAUCUCAAAUUUAAAAAUUUAAAGUUACAAAUAUAAAAUGUCAAAUUUAAAAUUUAAAUAAUUAAAAAUAAUAAUUUAAAAUUCAAAUUUAAAAUUUAAAAUUUAUAUUUAUAUUUUUAAAUCUCAAAUUUAAAGUUACAAAUAUAAAAUAUCAAAUUUAAAUUUUAAAUAAUUAAAAAAAAUAAUUUAAAGUUUUAAAUUUAAAAUUUUUAAUUUUUAAAAAUAAAUAUUAUUUUUAAAUUUUUAAAU
rnacentral:lncRNA from 1 species